AUGAAAACCCCAACAUGUAAUACAUCGUAAUAUUUGCAGACCGGUACUUGUAGUGAUUGGAUGCUAAUUACUAUCAAUACUUGAAUACUAAUAUUCAGAAUUAAUAUGCUUAAGUUACCACCGGUCCAUUUAAAUGCUUUCAAGUCAACAUUGUUAAAUACUUUAAUGUAUUAUCUAAUCAAUGCCUUCAUUUUAAUAAUCCGAUCAUCUCCGUUAACAUAUGCAUAAUUAAAUGAGGAAUAAUGAAAGAAGAAUGAGAAUCCCCAUUACGAAAACCAAAUGUCUGUAGUAAUUAAAUUUCACGUUCUUAGUUUAACGUAUUUAAUUUCUUAACUCGCAUUUGCUGUCAAUUUUGCUUUUGCUAGCUAACGUCUGAAAACAUUUUCAAUAAAAGAGGAAUAGCAAAGAUUAAGAAACCCUCAAUAAGAUACCGCCAUCAUUCAUUAAA